GCUCAUCUCCUCUUCCUUGAAAAAGGCGCUCAUAAUCUAUUCCACAUGCGGGAGUGUGAUGGCAAGUGCCUCACCUUACCAACCACGUUCAGGGGGUGGUUUCAAGCGUGUGCAACAGGUAGAUACGCGCCGAUAUCCUACCAACAGAGAACGAAAGCUACGCGCGCGCCGCGCGCGUGUUGAGCGCGAGCUUAGCGCAUGCCGAGCUCGCGCCGUUCGAGCUUUGCGCCGUAGCUAUCAGGUAGCCGGCGAAGGCGUAUAUAACCCACACCUGACGAAACGUUCAGCACACUCCGACGGUGAGCACCACCGAGCUAGCGUCGUUCUGUCAGCUCUGUUGCGUUCUACUCGUUUCCGUUUACAUACGUAAAACACACGUGUGACUUAAGUCUACUACGCACUCAGUGAGUGUUUUUACUUAUUUUACUUCACGUUUUUAACUUACAACCACGACAAUGUGUCUGCCAAAUAAUCUUAAUAACGCUAACAACACUAAGAAGCAAGCGAGCAUGGCUGCUGUCAAGCUCAAGGCUACAACACCUUGGGGUCGAAUCAAACAGCAAUUGAAACCCCGACUAUCUCGUAAAAUCGUGCCAUCAUCCAAGAUCAACUUGAAUAACUUCUGGGAGGACUUCGCCCAAAGCUCCUCGCCGGUCGAGUUCUCCGACCACAGCAGCGAAAUACACGACAACAUCAUCAACGAACUGUUAGAGCUCUAACUUGAUCACAUCGAUCAUAGCCCAAUGAAAACUGUCAAGCUUUCCAAGCUGAUCAACUCGAUUCAGGACCAAUCAGGACGACGACUACGAAUUAUUCCGAUGAUACUCAUUAGUUGUAAGUGACUUCAACAUAACCUUAAAUUAAGCUUUAGUUUAUAACGGUAUAUCUAGCUUUAAUUAAAUACCUUCAAUGUGACUUAAGUAUAGGCUAGGAUCAUCAGAAAUCAUUUAGGCUAGUAAUUCAUUUAAGGGGUAGAUUAAUCAUGAAAGCAUCAAGCAAUUCAAGGGAGCUUUAAAACUUAGGUUAUAAGUCAUCAGUGAUUUCAACAUGUGAUAAUUGAUUUGCAAUGCUAAAUAUGCAGAGUUUAUUUAUUAGGAUUACUUACGCAGCUUUAACAUACAUAUCGCUUUAAUAAAUAAUAAGAGAAAUCUUGCUAACAUUAAAAAAAAACACAUCGGAUUUGCUCAAGCUUUAAAACUAGCUUUAUCUACUUAUAAUUCACAAUUAAUUGCGUCGACAUAUCUCGACUUCGGUGGAGUGUAUGUCGAGGCGGCAAUCAUUGAGCUUUAAAUAAUCAUAACUUGGAGAAGCUUUAAUUAGGAUUUAAGCAUGUGUUGCAAUCCUUGGUCUUCCAUUAAUUACAAACGCACACAUGCAGCUUUAUAACACGUGCAAUUUUAUUAUCGUAUAAGCUUCACACGCAAUCGCUAAGUGCAAUCAAAAUUUAGGUUAAUUAUAAAUUUUAGGGAUUUGCAAUAUAUUCGGAGCAAUAAUGGAUACUGUGAUAUUUGAAUUGAUAUGAUUUAAUAAUAGAUUUAGCAGCUUUAACUUCGCUUUAAUUGAUCGAACUCUUCGAAAGCUUUAACUAGAUUUUAAGUUCCCGAAGGAUGUCCUCCUUCGUCCACAGGGCAUGGAGGCAAAUCCGCGGGAAAUAGGCCGAAAUAGUGUCAAUGUUUAUUUGUAAAUAAGCACAAAAAUGAUUAAUGCAUAGCUUUAGCAGUUAGCUUUAAUGGAACUUAGCAUAGAGCACCCACAUAAGUAGGCUUUACCUCGCACCGUCUUGUACAUACGCACUUUUUGCACAUGAUAAGAAUAUAAAGAAAAAAUUAAAAAACCUAAAAAAACACAUGAUAUUCGCUCGUUGCAAAUGAAUGUGAUCGGUGGAAUCGAGACUUGAAUUAAGACUAAUUAGUUACUAGAUUAAUAAUCGGAACCAAUGAUGCUUUAUCACGUAAAAUUUAGUUCAGCUUUAAUUAGAUUUAUGUAAUUGGUUAGUUAAUGAUGAUACCUGUGAUACAACCAGCUUCGUUAAUGAUUUCUGAAUUAGUUUUUAAGUGAUUAAAUUUAUAAGUAGCGCUAAGUGAAUUUGUCGUUCGCUGCAAUGUGACUGAGACGUUUGAUUGUAAUUAAUAGUUUUUAAGUUUUAAAACGAUACUAAUUGUUAAGCGGAUAAGUGAUAACUGUAAGUGAUUAAUGUUGUAAUGAUAAUUGUUAAUUAUAAUUGACUCGUAGCUGUAGCAUCAAUGUUUAUUAUUGUUUUUGUGUAAGUUGUGAACGUUUAGUUCAAUCACUCAUGUAAACACUAGUUGAUAAGUUUUUUUUAUGAAAUAAAAAUUAAAAUUAAAAAAAUA